GAUCCUGGCUUAGGACGAACGCUGGCGGCGUGCUUAACACAUGCAAGUCGAACGGAGAUACAUUGGAGGAGAGCUUCGGCAGGAAUCCGACGUAUCGUUAGUGGCGGACGGGUGAGUAACGCGUGAGCAACCUGUCCCAGACAGGGGGAUAACACUUGGAAACAGGUGCUAAUACCGCAUAAGACCACAGAGUCACAUGGGCUCAGGGGUAAAAGGAGGAAUCCGGUUUGGGGUGGGCUCGCGUCCGAUUAGAUAGUUGGUGAGGUAACGGCCCACCAAGUCGACGAUCGGUAGCCGACCUGAGAGGGUGAUCGGCCACAUUGGAACUGAGAGACGGUCCAAACUCCUACGGGAGGCAGCAGUGGGGAAUAUUGGGCAAUGGGCGAAAAAGCCUGACCCAGCAACGCCGCGUGAGUGAAGAAGGCUUUCGGGUUGUAAAGCUCUGUUAUAGGGGACGAAGGAAGUGACGGUACCCUAUAAGGAAGCCCCGGCUAACUACGUGCCAGCAGCGGC
rnacentral:rRNA from 1 species